UACAGAGGAUGCAAGCGUUAUCCGGAAUGAUUGGGCGUAAAGCGUCUGUAGGUGGCUUUUUAAGUCCGCCGUCAAAUCCCAGGGCUCAACCCUGGACAGGCGGUGGAAACUACCAAGCUGGAGUACGGUAGGGGCAGAGGGAAUUUCCGGUGGAGCGGUGAAAUGCGUAGAGAUCGGGAGGAACACCUGUGGCGAAGGCGGCCCCCUGGGCCGGCCCUGACACUGAGACGCGAAGGCGUGGGGAGCGAACGGG
rnacentral:rRNA from 1 species